AUGGGCUAGGAAAUGGUGGCUGUGUAGCUGGGCCUCUUGGGGUUCAGCCUUGUACCUGCUAGCCUGACCUUGCCCUAGAUUAAAUGAGAACUUGGGGUUUGCCCUCUGCAGUAACAGGUGUGAGCAUUCUACCAGUAGAUAGAUGGUCAUGUAUGAUACUGCAUACAGUU
ensembl:scaRNA small Cajal body-specific RNA 16